rnacentral:rRNA from 1 species
UGGGGAAUUUUGGACAAUGGGCGAAAGCCUGAUCCAGCAAUGCCGCGUGUGUGAAGAAGGCCUUCGGGUUGUAAAGCACUUUUGUCCGGAAAGAAAUCCUUGGCUCUAAUACAGUCGGGGGAUGACGGUACCGGAAGAAUAAGCACCGGUUAACUACGUGCCAGCAGCCGCGGUAAUACGUAGGGUGCAAGCGUUAAUCGGAAUUACUGGGCGUAAAGCGUGCGCAGGCGGUUUGCUAAGACCGAUGUGAAAUCCCCGGGCUCAACCUGGGAACUGCAUUGGUGACUGGCAGGCUAGAGUAUGGCAGAGGGGGGUAGAAUUCCACGUGUAGCAGUGAAAUGCGUAGAGAUGUGGAGGAAUACCGAUGGCGAAGGCAGCCCCCUGGGCCAAUACUGACGCUCAUGCACGAAAGCGUGGGGAGCAAAACAGGAUUAGAUACCCUGGUAGUCCACGCCCUAAACGAUGUCAACUAGUUGUUGGGAUCAUUCCUUAGUAACGUAGCUAACGCGUGAAGUUGACCGCCUGGGGAGUACGGUCGCAAGAUUAAAACUCAAAUGAAUUGACGGGGUCAUAGCUGUUUCCU